CCUACGGGUGGCAGCAGUGGGGAAUAUUGGACAAUGGGGGGAACCCUGAUCCAGCGACGCCGCGUGAGUGAAGAAGUAUUUCGGUAUGUAAAGCCCUAUCAGCAGGGAAGAAAAUGACGGUACCUGACUAAUAAGCCCCGGCUAACUACGUGCCAGCAGCCGCGGUAAUACGUAGGGGGCAAGCGUUAUUCGGAUUUACUGGGUGUAAAGGGCGCGUAGACGGUGUAGCAAGUCUGAUGUGAAAGGUCGGGGCUCAACCCGGGAACUGCAUUGGAAACUGUUGAACUGGAGUACAGGAGAGGUAAGUGGAAUUCCUGGUGUAGAGGUAAAAUGCGUAGAUAUUAGGAGGAACACCAGUGGCGAAGGCGGCUGACUGGACUGUAACUGACGUUGAUGCUCGAAAGCGUGGGGAGCAAACAGGAUUAGAUACCCGAGUAGUC
rnacentral:rRNA from 1 species